rnacentral:rRNA from 1 species
GACGAACGCUGGCGGCGUGCUUAACACAUGCAAGUCGAACGGUGAAGGGAUCAGCUUGCUGGUUCUGGAUGAGUGGCGAACGGGUGAGUAACACGUGAGUAACCUGCCCCCUUCUUCUGGAUAACCGCAUGAAAGUGUGGCUAAUACGGGAUAUUCUGGGUCUGUCGCAUGAUGGGUCUGGGAAAGAUAUUGUUUCGGUGGGGGAUGGGCUCGCGGCCUAUCAGCUUGUUGGUGGGGUGAUGGCCUACCAAGGCGGUGACGGGUAGCCGGCCUGAGAGGGUGGACGGUCACACUGGGACUGAGACACGGCCCAGACUCCUACGGGAGGCAGCAGUGGGGAAUAUUGCACAAUGGGCGCAAGCCUGAUGCAGCGACGCCGCGUGAGGGAUGGAGGCCUUCGGGUUGUAAACCUCUUUCGCCAGUGAAGCAGGCCUGCUCAUUGUGGGUGGGUUGACGGUAGCUGGAUAAGAAGCGCCGGCUAACUACGUG